rnacentral:rRNA from 1 species
AUUGAACGCUGGCGGCAGGCCUAACACAUGCAAGUCGAGCGGAGCGGCGGACGGGUGAGUAAUGCCUAGGAAUCUGCCUGGCAGUGGGGGAUAACGUCAGGAAACGGGCGAUAAUACCGCAUACUAUCAGAUGAGACUCGGGAGGGUUAGCUAGUUGGGGGGGUAAAGGCCCACCAAGGCGACGAUCCGUAGCUGGUCUGAGAGGAUGAUCGGUCACACUGGAACUGAGACACGGUCCAGACUCCUACGGGAGGCAGCAGUGGGGAAUCUUGGACAAUGGGCGAAAGCCUGAUCGAGCAAUGCCGCGUGAGUGAAGAAGGUCUUCGGAUUGUAAAGCGCUUUUGUUAGGGAGGCGGUACCUAAAGAAUAAGCACCGGCUAACUACGUGCCAGCAGCCGCGGUAAUUC